rnacentral:rRNA from 1 species
GGCGUAGAGGGCUCGCAGGCGGUUUCUUAAGUCUGAUGUGAAAGCCCCCGGCUCAACCGGGGAGGGUCAUUGGAAACUGGGGAACUUGAGUGCAGAAGAGGAGAGUGGAAUUCCACGUGUAGCGGUGAAAUGCGUAGAGAUGUGGAGGAACACCAGUGGCGAAGGCGACUCUCUGGUCUGUAACUGACGCUGAGGAGCGAAAGCGUGGGGAGCGAACAGGAUUAGAUACCCUGGUAGUCCACGCCGUAAACGAUGAGUGCUAAGUGUUAGGGGGUUUCCGCCCCUUAGUGCUGCAGCUAACGCAUUAAGCACUCCGCCUGGGGAGUACGGUCGCAAGACUGAAACUCAAAGGAAUUGACGGGGGCCCGCACAAGCGGUGGAGCAUGUGGUUUAAUUCGAAGCAACGCGAAGAACCUUACCAGGUCUUGACAUCCUCUGACAAUCCUAGAGAUAGGACGUCCCCUUCGGGGGCAGAGUGACAGGUGGUGCAUGGUUGUCGUCAGCUCGUGUCGUGAGAUGUUGGGUUAAGUCCCGCAACGAGCGCAACCCUUGAUCUUAGUUGCCAGCAUUCAGUUGGGCACUCUAAGGUGACUGCCGGUGACAAACCGGAGGAAGGUGGGGAUGACGUCAAAUCAUCAUGCCCCUUAUGACCUGGGCUACACACGUGCUACAAUGGACAGAACAAAGGGCAGCGAAACCGCGAGGUUAAGCCAAUCCCACAAAUCUGUUCUCAGUUCGGAUCGCAGUCUGCAACUCGACUGCGUGAAGCUGGAAUCGCUAGUAAUCGCGGAUCAGCAUGCCG